rnacentral:rRNA from 1 species
UGGGGAAUAUUGCACAAUGGGCGAAAGCCUGAUGCAGCAACGCCGCGUGAGUGAUGAAGGCCUUCGGGUUGUAAAGCUCUGUCUUUUGGGACGAUAAUGACGGUACCAAAGGAGGAAGCCACGGCUAACUACGUGCCAGCAGCCGCGGUAAUACGUAGGUGGCAAGCGUUGUCCGGAUUUACUGGGCGUAAAGGAUGCGUAGGCGGAUUUUUAAGUGAGAUGUGAAAACCCUAAGCUUAACUUGGGGACUGCAUUUCAUACUGGGAAAAUCUAGAGUGCGGGAGAGGAGAAUGGAAUUCCUAGUGUAGCGGUGAAAUGCGUAGAGAUUAGGAAGAACACCAGUGGCGAAGGACGAUUCUCUGGACCGUAACUGACGCUGAGGCAUGAAAGCGUGGGUAGCAAACAGGAUUAGAUACCCUGGUAGUCCACGCCGUAAACGAUGAGUAACUAGGUGUAGGAGGUAUCGACCCCUUCUGUGCCGCAGUUAACACAAUAAGUACUCCGCCUGGG